AUCUGGAAUAACAAGCAGGAAUUCAUACAUACAGUCUGAUCUGACUUCACUGAGGGUUUCAUAUGAUGAUGAAGGAGGUGUACAUGUGGUCGGGGGAAUGGUUUUUGAGUCUCUUUGUAGGUCUAUCUCUUGACACUUGAGGAAAAUGCUUUUGUCUUUCAUUGACAGUGAGGAAAGGGGUUUCUUCAAGUGUGUAGAUCAAUCCGACAACGUAUGGCACAUAUUUUUUUCUUUAAUGUAGACACAUGUAUGCUUUGUCUUACGUAAUCACAAAUCAUCUUCAAUUUCUUACAGGCCAUGUUAUCCUGUUAUCCUGUCUCUACAUGCAUUUGGCUCCCUCUCUCUCUUUUUACUCCUCGCAUGUUUAGUAGUUCUCUCUCCACCCUAAGAACAAACCCUGCUCCUCCAGUUCCAGCCUUGGCAGACAAGACUUGUGAUAGAAAGCUGUGAUCGUCAUGCUAAUGCCGUCCUUGACUUAAAUAACAUGCUCGAGACUCGCAGGGCGGGAGAGCGAGGCAGAGCUGCAGAGUGAAUGGAGAGAGACAGAGAGGGGGGAUUUGGGUGGAUAGUUCGAGGCUUAAGAGAAGAAAGAAACAGAAGGAGUGAGGUGGAGAGAUCAAAGAGGAAGAGAAGACAGAAAGAGCCAUUGGCCCCUGCUGCGCUGCUGAAUUUCUUUAUGCAUCAAAUCCUUUGAGAGUAUUGCGAUGCAUGCCAAAGACUAAGUCAGCCCCCUCUGUUAUUUAUAGCUUCCUCUAAUGGUGACGCAACACGGUACAACUGGAAGGGAGCAAAGAAUCGUGAUGGUUUUAAAGCAACAAUCCAGUGGAUUACGGGGGCCUAAGAGGCUGCUACUGCAGUCUGUAACAUCAAGGCAGCCAGGCAGGCAAGCAGGGCUGAAGCCGGCCAGCUCCCUGCCCCCUCUUCCUCCCUCCUUCAGUGGAGAGAGAACAGGACAGCUGGGGACGGCAUGGUGGGCAAAGGACCAGGGAGCAGGAAGGAGAAUUGAGUGGAUGGAGAGGGAGCAGUGAAGCCAGGAGAUUACGCUACAGUAGCUGUUUGUUACGGGUGUGUUAAAUCCUACACAGCUGCCAAGAACCGGUGUCCUCCUCCUCUAUAUCCAAAAAAUGACGGUUUAUCCGAAUCUUUUGACAAAGUUUGUAAAGGGAACUGCAAUGAUUAUCCUGUAUGUCAUAAAAAACACGGUAACAGCUCUGCAAAGGGGUGCUACAUGAUCAUAUACUACAAUACUUCGCUUACAGUAAGUUUUUUUGUUUGUACAUUUGGGGGUUUUGGCAAGCCUGGCCUAAUAUGUACCCAAUAUAUAUAUUUUUAUUAUUAUUAUUUUAUUUGUUGCUCCCCCAAUAUUGUUAAUGAUUGAUAAGAAUUAAAUUCAUUUACGUGUAGUGGGGGGGCAUGACCUUUUUUUGGCUUCCAACAGAAAAAGUCUGAGAACCACUGGUCUAGGGCGUGAGGGUGUAACAGCAGUGGUGAUGCUACCCAGCUGCAGCUAGCUUUCAUCAUACAACUACACCAGACAAUGCAGGGAAUAUUAAAGGUGGGGUAUGCAAUUCUGGAGAAAUCCAAUACCAUGACAAAUACCAUUAUAUAGAGCGAACGAUACAGCAAGUAAUAUAACUAACUUUAGCUAGGUUGUGGGUUAGCUUAUCUAGGUUAUGGGUUGAGGCACUAUGAACUGCAAAAUCUGCAUGCUGUUCCUCAUCUCUCUCUCUCUCUCUCUCUCUCUCUCUCUCUCUUUCUCCUCAUUUCCUGACAUUUCCUACUGUUGCUGUUUAAUAAAGGAAUAAAAUGCCAAAAAACUAAAAUAGAAAAAAUGGUUGAGUGGUGGGGGAUGCAUUGCGGGGGACACGUCCUCCGCAUUUCUAAAAUCCUGGCUACGGCCCGAGGUACAUUUUUCAUCUUAGACUCUCUCACUAAGGAUUCAUAGUACCAA